GUAGGCUAGUCCACGCGCUACGCCAACCGCAAUACGGUGGCGCGUGUGCCAUUCCAUUUUCCCGGGUGAUGUAAUUUGGGACCCGUUUUGUAACUCCCACGUGUCGGUUGUCCAGUCUUCCACGUUGGUGGUAGCAGUUGGAAGCUCGUGUAGCCAUCGGUGGAGGUCACCAUUGGACAUGAAUUCGUAUAAGACUAGCUUCUCUUUCCCUGCAAUGCAGUAACCAGAAAUAGGCAACAGAUUAGGAUGCUUAAUCCUGGAGAGUUGUUCAAACAAGGCAAUAGCAUCAUCAUGGCUUAGUUCCCUAGCAUGUUCCAAGACCUUGAUUGCCACGUGGAGGUCGCCUGGAAGUACGGCUCUGUAAACGGGCCCACACCUUCCUUCAGCUAACAAUGACUCUUUUCCGAAGUGAGAUGUGGCUGCUAUCAGGUCUUUGAAUGUUAGGUUCAUCAAUGGCUUCUCAAACAUAACUACACCUGCUGAACUUGGUUCUUUUAUGUCAGCAACCCAUGAAUUGCCUGACUCUGUUUCAAAUGAAAAUGGCCCUGAUUUGUCCAUUCUAAACGGUAUCUGUAUUGGCUUUGAUAUUAGCCAUUUGUUCUUCCUAGCCAUUUGUUUUUUCCUUUUGUAUAGACACAAUAUGACUAACCCCAUGACCAAGAUUAGAAAUGCUGAAGCAGAGGAAAGAGCUACGGUUAAAACUUUCUUUCUUGAUUUGGGCUCUUUCUUGUGUGUGUUUGGUUUGACAGGUUUGUGUCUCAAAGGCAACA
rnacentral:misc_RNA from 1 species